rnacentral:sRNA from 1 species
GGAAAGCAAUUGGAAGAUGGACGCACACUCUCUGAUUACAAUAUUCAGAAAGAGUCUACUCUCCACUUGGUGCUCCGCCUCAGAGGAGGUAUGCAGAUCUUCGUCAAGACAUUGACUGGAAAGACCAUCACACUUGAAGUCGAAGCUUCCGACACGAUCGAAAAUGUCAAGGCUAAGAUUCAAGAUAAAGAAGGAAUCCCACCAGAUCAGCAAAGACUUAUCUUCGCCGGAAAGCAGCUCGAGGACGGCCGCACCCUUUCGGACUACAACAUCCAGAAGGAAUCAACUCUUCAUUUGGUUCUCCGUUUGAGAGGAGGUAUGCAGAUCUUCGUCAAGACAUUGACCGGAAAGACCAUCACCCUCGAAGUCGAAGCCUCCGACACCAUCGAAAAUGUCAAGGCCAAGAUCCAAGACAAGGAAGGAAUUCCACCAGAUCAGCAGAGACUUAUUUUUGCUGGUACGUUGGCAAAAUAUCUAAUAUUUGACCUAAAAUUUAUUAUAUAUUUUCAGGAAAGCAACUCGAGGAUGGCCGUACCCUUUCGGACUACAAUAUCCAGAAGGAAUCAACCCUCCAUUUGGUGCUCCGCCUAAGAGGAGGAAUGCAGAUCUUCGUCAAGACUUUGACCGGAAAGACUAUUACUCUUGAGGUUGAAGCUUCUGACACUAUUGAGAACGUGAAGGCCAAGAUCCAAGACAAGGAAGGUAUCCCACCAGAUCAACAGCGUUUGAUCUUUGCCGGAAAGCAACUCGAGGAUGGCCGUACUCUCUCCGAUUACAACAUCCAAAAGGAGUCUACUCUUCAUUUGGUUCUCCGUCUCCGAGGAGGAAUGCAAAUCUUCGUCAAGACUCUUAUCGGAAAGACCAUCACCCUCGAAGUCGAAGCCUCCGAUACCAUCGAGAACGUGAAGGCCAAGAUUCAGGACAAGGAAGGAAUUCCUCCAGAUCAGCAACGUCUCAUCUUCGCUGGAAAGCAGCUCGAAGACGGCCGCACCCUUUCGGACUACAACAUCCAGAAGGAAUCAACUCUUCAUUUGGUUCUCCGUUUGAGAGGAGGUAUGCAAAUCUUCGUGAAGACUUUGACUGGAAAGACUAUCACCCUCGAAGUCGAAGCCUCUGAUACCAUCGAAAAUGUGAAGGCCAAGAUCCAAGACAAGGAAGGAAUCCCACCAGAUCAGCAGCGUCUUAUCUUUGCCG